UACGGGGGGAGCAAGCGUUGUUCGGAUUUACUGGGCGUAAAGGGCGCGUAGGCGGUCGUGACAAGUCACUUGUGAAAUCUCCGGGCUUAACCCGGAGCGGUCAAGUGAUACUGUCGGACUAGAGUACAGAAGGGGCAACUGGAAUUCUCGGUGUAGCGGUGAAAUGCGUAGAUAUCGAGAGGAACACCUGCGGCGAAGGCGGGUUGCUGGGCUGAUACUGACGCUGAGGCGCGAAAGCCAGGGGAGCGAACGGG
rnacentral:rRNA from 1 species